GGCUUUGUGAGGCGCUGGGAUGGGCUACUUCGAGCUUAUCGAGCAAUGACAACACGCUGGGCGUUAUGGCAGGUUCGACUCCUGCAGCAAGCCU
rnacentral:tRNA from 1 species